GUCAUUCUAGAUUAGCAAUCCCUCCAUCCGAUUCCAGAAGUUUCACUCCAACAUCUGCUCCCAAUUUCCAAUUGCAUUUCUCUGUCCCGUCACUUGUGUUCUUCGCCAUUUUAUCUAGACUUUUCCCCACCUCACACCAUGUACUACGGUUAUCUGUACAGUCUGCUUUGUGAAGCAUUUUCAGAAGGUUCACUUCACGUGAAUCUUCGCUGUCGAUUUCUAGUCCGUGUAUUUGAUACUCAACAAUUUUUGAUAGAAUACUACUAAAUCUCCCACAGCCCGCAGGCAAUUCUUGUAAAUAGCCCUACCUUAUGGUUUGACGACGUUGUUUGUGUUGGAUUUUCAAUACCACCUGCAGAUCGGUUCGGGUAGCACAAUACUUUACUGUCUAGGUUGGAUCGGUCACCCAAGGUGGAGUAAAAGGGAGAUCACCAACACUCUGUAAAUUCAUUUUUGUUUGGUAAUGGAAGCUCUUAGUUUUUGUAAAGCUAAAUCUCAAAGAAAAAUAUGCUGCAUAGGUUUAAACUUAUUCCAAUACUCUUAGAAUACAUUACCUCUUAACAGGCAAAUGGGAGAUCCAUAAAUUUGAAGGCAGAGUAGUCAGUUUGUCAUAUUGGAGAGCAAUAUGAACUCUUUGAGGCUGCAAUAAAACGACAAAGUAGAAGCUCCAUCGAGACUGCAACUAAAGAAUGAAGUGUCAUUUUCAGCUAUAAUAGCAGAAACAACCAUUCCAAUAUAAAGUGGCGGAGCAAUCAAAUUAUUAUGGUAUAAUAAAUACAGCUUUUUUAACCCAAGGAAAAGAAUAAACGGGUCCAUCCCAUUCUAACCACAUGAAUGGGGCAAGCAAUGGUAUGGACACACAUGCUCAGAAUGUAAUAUAGAAACCCUUUUUAAAAUUUCAACAGCAUACCAAGCAUGGCAUUGACACUUGAAA